rnacentral:tRNA from 2 species
GGUGGAGUAGCCAAGUGGUUAGGCAACGGUUUGCAAAACCGUCAUACACGGGUUCGAAUCCCGUCUCCACCUCCA